GCAGGAGAGGAACAUCUUAGAACACAAGCAAGAAAGGUGUGAGAGACAUAUGAGAGGGGAGGUAUGCCUGUUUUGUAAUCCACUAUUUUUUUCACAUACCUGAAGUACACUUCUCAACCAGAAGAGGGCAACAUAACACCAGUCUGAGGAAAGGGUUUCAGUCACUGGAAAGAGAAAAUUAGAAUUAGAAGAAUGCUUUCAGUUCUGUUCUUGUUCUAAGGAAACUGUCUGGGAGAAGUGGACAGAAAGAGACUGACUUGAGUCCUUGUUUCCAUUCUGGGUGAGCAGACGUUGAAAAAGAUAGCUGUGCAGGCUUUGCAGACACUAAGCUGAAGCUGUCCAGGUUGGAUAUAGUGACAGGCCUAGCUAGCGAUGGAACACUGUGCCUCCAGUAUGCAGUCAGUCAUCCUGCAGUCAGAUGUCGCCAGGGAGGCACCCCCCCCCCCCACCCCACACAGCAGGGUGGACUGAGACAGGGAGUUGAAGCAGCGUAUCAGGAGCCAUGUUCAGAUGAUGAAGGAGGCCCAGGGGCACUGGCCAAGAGGAGAUUAAAGCUGCAAGACAAGAUAUGGAGGAAGCCAAGAAGUUGCAGUCAGAACUCGCUGUGAGACAUCAAGUAUCGAUUCAUCGUGUUUACUGGGGAUAACUCUGCUAUGACAGGUGAAAGUAUUUUUGAGUGUGUAGCCCUACUGCUAAUAUUGUUGCAAUAUUAAAAUAAUUUACAUUGCAUGUAAAAAUAGAAGUACAGGAGAGGGUAGUAUGGAAUUAUAGCACUCUACAAACACAGUUUCCUCAUUCACAAUGGUAUCCAAUACCCAUUCAUCAAUAAACAUUUCAUAUUCUUACUUGACCACCAUGA
rnacentral:lncRNA from 1 species